AUGCACGCUGGCGGCGUGCCUCAUCCCUGCCAGUCGAGCGAACAGACGAGGAGCUUGCUCCUCUGACGUUAGCGGCGGACGGGUGAGUAACACGUGGAUAACCUACCUAUAAGACUGGGAUAACUUCGGGAAACCGGAGCUAAUACCGGAUAAUAUAUUGAACCGCAUGGUUCAAUAGUGAAAGACGGUUUUGCUGUCACUUAUAGAUGGAUCCGCGCCGCAUUAGCUAGUUGGUAAGGUAACGGCUUACCAAGGCAACGAUGCGUAGCCGACCUGAGAGGGUGAUCGGCCACACUGGAACUGAGACACGGUCCAGACUCCUACGGGAGGCAGCAGUAGGGAAUCUGCCGCAAUGGGCGAAAGCCUGACGGAGCAACGCCGCGUGAGUGAUGAAGGUCUUCGGAUCGUAAAACUCUGUUAUUAGGGAAGAACAAAUGUGUAAGUAACUAUGCACGUCUUGACGGUACCUAAUCAGAAAGCCACGGCUAACUACGUG
rnacentral:rRNA from 1 species